UGGCGGCUUCACGAGAGAGUGGGACUUGGGCAGCAGAGGCAGCACAGUGGAUGCAUUUCUGACCUUCUACAGUGAGGUGAAACAAAUAGAGAAGAGAGACUCGGUUCUAACAUCCAAAAAUCAGAUUGAAAGAUGGACCCGUCCUGGUUCCUCUUACUUCAAUUUGAACCCAUUUGAGGUUCUUCAGUUAGAUCCUGAAGUUACAGAUGAAGAAAUUAAAAAAAGAGGUUUCAGCAGUUAUCCACAUUGGUGCGUCCUGACAAAAAUCAUGAUGCUGACAGAGCACAAAAGGCUUUUGAAGCUGUGGACAAAGCAUAAAAGUUGCUACUGGAUCAGGACCAAAAGAAGAGGACCCUGGAUGUAAUUCAGGCAGGAAAAGAAUACAUGGAACACG
rnacentral:lncRNA from 1 species